CGGAAAUAAUUCGAUCCAGUCCGGAAGUCAGCUCUUCGUGGGUCUUGAGGCUUACGGUCCGAGCGUCUGGUGGGGUCAGGGCGCUCAGUGAUCGCUAGACUGCUGCCUUGGUUCGCCUCUUAUUUUCCGGCUGGCGAUGGCGACCUACACCUGCAACACCUGCCGGGCGCUGUUGGACGACGCGGAGGCGCAGCGGGCCCACUACAAGACGGACUGGCACCGCUACAACCUGAGGCGCAAAGUGGCCGGCAUGGCCCCGGUCGCCGCCGAGGGCUUCCAGGAGCGGGUGCGGGCGCAGCGGGCCCUGGCGGAGCCGGAGAGCAAGGGCGCGGCCACCUACUGCACCGUCUGCAGUAAGAAGUUUGCCUCCUUCAAGGCCUACGAAAACCAUCUGAGGUCCCGGCGGCACGUGGAGCUGGAGAAGGAGGCGGUGAGUCGGAAAGUGGCGAUCCUGAAUGAAAAGAACUUGAAGGAAGGGCUGGGCGUGGACAGGGAUGCGGUGAACGCGGCCAUCCAGCAGGUCAUCAAGGCCCAGCCGUCCACGUCUCCCAAGAAGGCGGCCCCAGCGCCCGGGGCGGAGUCCCGGAGUCCAGUGACCGUGGCCGCUGGAGGACGUGGGACUCAGCAGCGAGACCCGGUCGAGAAGCCUCCCCGGCUGCAGUGGUUUGAACAGCAGGCGAAGAUGUUGGCCAAACAGCAGGGGGAGGAGGAGAGUGAGGACGACCUGGAUGCAGAUGAGUGGGAGGAUAUUGAUUCUGAUGAGGAACUGGAAUGUGAGGAUGCUGCAGCCCCGGAGGAGGAGGCAGCGGAGGAAGAGGCUGGAGGAAGCACCCCGCGUGGCGCCAUCCCCGUAACUGACUGCUUGUUUUGUCCCCAUCAUUCAAGCUCCCUCACGAAGAACGUGGCUCAUAUGACUAAAGUGCACAGCUUCUUUAUUCCUGAUGUAGAGUAUCUUUCCGAUCUUAAGGGACUGAUUAAAUAUUUGGGAGAGAAAGUUGGUGUGGGGAAGAUUUGCUUGUGGUGCAAUGAGAGGGGGAAGUCCUUCUACUCCACGGAAGCUGUACAGGCUCACAUGAAUGACAGGAGUCACUGCAAGCUCUUCACAGAUGGGGAUGCUCUUUUGGAAUUUGCAGACUUCUAUGAUUUUAGGAGUAGCUACCCAGAUCACAAGGAAGGGGAGGACCCUGAUGAGACUGAGGACUUGCCCUCAGAAAGGGCCUUGGAAUAUGAAGACGACACCAUGGAGCUGAUUCUCCCUUCUGGUGCCAGAGUGGGUCAUCGCUCCUUGAUGAGAUACUACAAACAGCGGUUUGGCUUGUCAAGAGCUGUGGCAGUUGCUAAGAAUCAGAAGGCUGUGGGCCGGGUCCUCCAGCAGUACAGAGCCCUGGGCUGGGCUGGCAGCACAGGAGCAGCUCUCGUGCACCAGCGGGACAUACAGUAUGUCCAAAGGAUGAAGUCCAAAUGGAUGCUGAAGAUGGGGAUGAAGAACAACGCCACCAAGCAGAUGCACUUCAGGCCCCAAGUGCUGUUCUGAGUCGGCCAGGGAUGGCGUCAUCAUCCGUCUCCCGCACAAGCGUCCUUCUUGCCUGGGGACCCGUGGAAGCUGGAUCAGGUUGUGCCGUUAAUUAAAUCAGCAAUGGAGCCGUCCCUCGCUCAGUCCGCAGCACAAAAGCUGGGACAUGCAGCCUUCUGGUUCUCAGCCUCCGGUCUCAGACUGAAUUAUUCCACCAGCUUUCCUGUUCUCCAGUUGCAGCUGGCAGACUGUGGGACUUCUCGACUUCUGUAAGUGUGUUAGCCAAUUCCUGUAAUAAAUCUCCUCUAAUAUACACAUCUCGAUAUGUCCUACUGGUUCCGCUUCUCUGGAGAACCCUGACUAAUACAGAUGUUAAAAGGCCGAAAACAGUAAGUGCUCACUACAGUUAUUUUGGAGUCUAAACUGUAGAUCUCGUGCCUGAGGGGUCAGCCCACCGCAGAGAAAGGUACCCAUUUCUGAUGCAGAGAAGUUGUGGGUCACGUAAUCAUUGCACAUUUCAGCUAGAACGGACUUAAAGAAAUUUUUGUCCAAGUCUGCCAUUAGAUAACAAAGGAAACUAGAAUCCCACAGAGGCUAAGUGCCCUGCCCAAAUCACACGACUGGAACAUGGAUCUUUGAUUCCUUGGUCAGGGUCCCUUCCUCUGAACCAUUGCCAUUCUUGUCUUAAGAUAUAUAACACAGUCCUGCCAGGACUGACCAAGAAUGAACUUAGAAUGUUCCCAAUGCCAUUUUCCUACUAAUAAUUUUGUCUAUUAAGUAACUCUAUACCUGCCAGGAAAUUGUAGAUAACUGAAAAAAAAAAAAGAAA